rnacentral:rRNA from 1 species
AGCAAGAGGCAUGAUCGCAAGGACAUGUGGAGCACUUAGAAGUGAGAAUGCCGGUGUGAGUAGCGAAAGACGGGUGAGAAUCCCGUCCACCGAUUGACUAAGGUUUCCAGAGGAAGGCUCGUCCGCUCUGGGUUAGUCGGGUCCUAAGCUGAGGCCGACAGGCGUAGGCGAUGGAUAACAGGUUGAUAUUCCUGUACCACCUAGUAUCGUUUUAAUCGAUGGGGGGGACGCAGUAGGAUAGGCGAAGCGUGCUGUUGGAGUGCACGUCCAAGCAGUAAGGCUGAGUGUUAGGCAAAUCCGGCACUCAUAAGGCUGAGCUGUGAUGGGGAGAGGAAAUUGUUUCCUCGAGUCGUUGAUUUCACACUGCCGAGAAAAGCCUCUAGAUAGAUAACAGGUGCCCGUACCGCAAACCGACACAGGUAGUCAAGAUGAGAA